GACAGAGGUGGCUAGCGUUGUUCGGAUUCAUUGGGUGUAAAGGGUGCGUAGGCGGUUUGGAAAGUCAGAUGUGAAAUCCCACAGCUCAACUGUGGAACUGCAUCUGAAACUUCUGAACUCGAGUGCGAGAGAGGUAAAGGGAAUUCCCGGUGUAAGGGUGAAAUCUGCAGAGAUCGGGAGGAACACCAGUAGCGAAGGCGCUUUACUGGCUCGUAACUGACGCUGAGUGCACGAAGGCAUGGGGAGCAAACGGG
rnacentral:rRNA from 1 species